UAAUACGUAGGAGGCGAGCGUUAUCCGGAUUCACUGGGCGUAAAGAGGGCGCAGGCGGCUUUUCAAGUCGGAUGUAAAAUCUCCUGGCUCAUCUGGGAGGGACCAUUCGAUACUGUUGGGCUAGAGAGCAGCAGGGGGAGGUGGAAUUCCCGGUGUAGUGGUGAAAUACGUAGAUAUCGGGGGGAACACCAGUGGCGAAGGCGGCCUCCUGGGCUGUUACAGACGCUGAGGCCCGAAAGCGUGGGGAGCGAACAGGAUUAGAUACCCUGGUAGUCCACGCCCUAAACGAUGGACACUAGGUAUGGGGAGUAUCGACCCUCUCCGUGCCGAAGCUAACGCAUUAAGUGUCCCGCCCGGGGAGUACGGCCGCAAGGCUA
rnacentral:rRNA from 1 species